rnacentral:rRNA from 1 species
UACAGAGGUGGCAAGCGUUGUUCGGAAUUACUGGGCGUAAAGGGCGCGUAGGCGGCCUUGUAAGUCCUGUGUGAAAUCCCCUGGCUCAACUAGGGAACUGCACAGGAGACUGCUUGGCUUGAGUUCGGGAGGGGGAAGCGGAAUUCCGGGUGUAGCGGUGAAAUGCGUAGAUAUCCGGAGGAACACCGGUGGCGAAGGCGGCUUCCUGGACCGACACUGACGCUGAGGCGCGAAAGCCAGGGGAGCAAACGGG